GAUGAACGCUGGCGGCGUGCCUAAUACAUGCAAGUCGAGCGAACGGACGAGAAGCUUGCUUCUCUGAUGUUAGCGGCGGACGGGUGAGUAACACGUGGAUAACCUACCUAUAAGACUGGGAUAACUUCGGGAAACCGGAGCUAAUACCGGAUAAUAUUUUGAACCGCAUGGUUCAAAAGUGAAAGACGGUCUUGCUGUCACUUAUAGAUGGAUCCGCGCUGCAUUAGCUAGUUGGUAAGGUAACGGCUUACCAAGGCAACGAUGCAUAGCCGACCUGAGAGGGUGAUCGGCCACACUGGAACUGAGACACGGUCCAGACUCCUACGGGAGGCAGCAGUAGGGAAUCUUCCGCAAUGGGCGAAAGCCUGACGGAGCAACGCCGCGUGAGUGAUGAAGGUCUUCGGAUCGUAAAACUCUGUUAUUAGGGAAGAACAUAUGUGUAAGUAACUGUGCACAUCUUGACGGUACCUAAUCAGAAAGCCACGGCUAACUACGUGCCAGCAGCCGCGGUAAUACGUAGGUGGCAAGCGUUAUCCGGAAUUAUUGGGCGUAAAGCGCGCGUAGGCGGUUUUUUAAGUCUGAUGUGAAAGCCCACGGCUCAACCGUGGAGGGUCAUUGGAAACUGGAAAACUUGAGUGCAGAAGAGGAAAGUGGAAUUCCAUGUGUAGCGGUGAAAUGCGCAGAGAUAUGGAGGAACACCAGUGGCGAAGGCGACUUUCUGGUCUGUAACUGACGCUGAUGUGCGAAAGCGUGGGGAUCAAACAGGAUUAGAUACCCUGGUAGUCCACGCCGUAAACGAUGAGUGCUAAGUGUUAGGGGGUUUCCGCCCCUUAGUGCUGCAGCUAACGCAUUAAGCACUCCGCCUGGGGAGUACGACCGCAAGGUUGAAACUCAAAGGAAUUGACGGGGACCCGCACAAGCGGUGGAGCAUGUGGUUUAAUUCGAAGCAACGCGAAGAACCUUACCAAAUCUUGACAUCCUUUGACAACUCUAGAGAUAGAGCUUUCCCCUUCGGGGGACAAAGUGACAGGUGGUGCAUGGUUGUCGUCAGCUCGUGUCGUGAGAUGUUGGGUUAAGUCCCGCAACGAGCGCAACCCUUAAGCUUAGUUGCCAUCAUUAAGUUGGGCACUCUAAGUUGACUGCCGGUGACAAACCGGAGGAAGGUGGGGAUGACGUCAAAUCAUCAUGCCCCUUAUGAUUUGGGCUACACACGUGCUACAAUGGACAAUACAAAGGGCAGCGAAACCGCGAGGUCAAGCAAAUCCCAUAAAGUUGUUCUCAGUUCGGAUUGUAGUCUGCAACUCGACUACAUGAAGCUGGAAUCGCUAGUAAUCGUAGAUCAGCAUGCUACGGUGAAUACGUUCCCCGGUCC
rnacentral:rRNA from 1 species